AGAGUUUGAUCCUGGCUCAGGACGAACGCUGGCGGCGCGCCUAACACAUGCAAGUCGAACGAGAGAUGAGGAGCUUGCUCUUCAAAUCGAGUGGCGAACGGGUGAGUAACGCGUGAGGAACCUGCCUCAAAGAGGGGGACAACAGUUGGAAACGACUGCUAAUACCGCAUAAGCCCACGGCUCGGCAUCGAGCAGAGGGAAAAGGAGCAAUCCGCUUUGAGAUGGCCUCGCGUCCGAUUAGCUAGUUGGUGAGGUAACGGCCCACCAAGGCGACGAUCGGUAGCCGGACUGAGAGGUUGAACGGCCACAUUGGGACUGAGACACGGCCCAGACUCCUACGGGAGGCAGCAGUGGGGAAUAUUGCACAAUGGGGGAAACCCUGAUGCAGCGACGCCGCGUGGAGGAAGAAGGUCUUCGGAUUGUAAACUCCUGUUGUUGAGGAAGAUAAUGACGGUACUCAACAAGGAAGUGACGGCUAACUACGUGCCAGCAGCCGCGGUAAAACGUAGGUCACAAGCGUUGUCCGGAAUUACUGGGUGUAAAGGGAGCGCAGGCGGGAGAACAAGUUGGAAGUGAAAUCCAUGGGCUCAACCCAUGAACUGCUUUCAAAACUGUUUUUCUUGAGUAGUGCAGAGGUAGGCGGAAUUCCCGGUGUAGCGGUGGAAUGCGUAGAUAUCGGGAGGAACACCAGUGGCGAAGGCGGCCUACUGGGCACCAACUGACGCUGAGGCUCGAAAGUGUGGGUAGCANACAGGAUUAGAUACCCUGGUAGUCCACACCGUAAACGAUGAUUACUAGGUGUUGGAGGAUUGACCCCUUCAGUGCCGCAGUUAACACAAUAAGUAAUCCACCUGGGGAGUACGACCGCAAGGUUGAAACUCAAAGGAAUUGACGGGGGCCCGCACAAGCAGUGGAGUAUGUGGUUUAAUUCGGCGCAACGCGAAGAACCUUACCAAGUCUUGACAUCCCUUGACGAACAUAGAAAUAUGUUUUCUCUUCGGAGCAAGGAGACAGGUGGUGCAUGGUUGUCGUCAGCUCGUGUCGUGAGAUGUUGGGUUAAGUCCCGCAACGAGCGCAACCCUUAUGGUCAGUUACUACGCAAGAGGACUCUGGCCAGACUGCCGUUGACAAAACGGAGGAAGGUGGGGAUGACGUCGAAUCAUCAUGCCCUUUAUGACUUGGGCUACACACGUACUACAAUGGCGUUAAACAAAGAGAAGCAAGACCGCGAGGUGGAGCAAAACUCAGAAACAACGUCCCAGUUCGGACUGCAGGCUGCAACUCGCCUGCACGAAGUCGGAAUUGCUAGUAAUCGUGGAUCAGCAUGCCACGGUGAAUACGUUCCCGGGCCUUGUACACACCGCCCGUC
rnacentral:rRNA from 1 species